AAAAGUCAACCUGCUAAGAGCAAACUGGACAUCAUAAACUUUGUUGAGGUGAGGUUAUACUUUCAUUUUAUAAAAUUCAUUUAGUAAGGCCUGAAUCAAAUUUAGUGUACACUGUACAUAUACAUCUUCUUAGUUUUGAGCUUUCCUAUAGUUGAGAUAAAGUUAUUAUGGGCUAACAAAAACUAUCUGCCAGUGUCUCUUGUUCCAUCCAUCAUAGUAUUUCGCUCUGUCUAUAACCCCUGGGGAUAGCUUGUAAGCUUGUUAGUGAAAACAUAAGCUGUUAAUUAAUGAAAGUUGUGUAGUUGUUACCAAAACUAUUUUUGUGUUGUUUUUUCCUCAAAAGGAAGGAGACACAGACUUGACUACCUGGCUGCAAAUGAGACCCAAUGACAUACUGUAUCAGGGCUGAUCAUGACAUGGAGCUAUUGGCAACAUUCGAGAAUAGCGAAACUGUAAAAGCCAUCUUUACUUCCUGGCGUUGUUCUACUGUACCUGCUCGACUUAGACUAUCCAUCCAGACUCAGCAGUCUGACAUGGUAAAGGCUUUUCAAGAAAUUGAACAAUAUUGCUACUGCCUCGUACCCAGGCGUC